rnacentral:rRNA from 1 species
UUAAGCGACUAAGCGUACACGGUGGAUGCCCUGGCAGUCAGAGGCGAUGAAGGACGUGCUAAUCUGCGAAAAGCGCCGGCGAGGUGAUAUGAACCUUUGACCCGGCGAUGUCCGAAUGGGGAAACCCAGUGUGAUCCGUCACACUAUCGUUAACUGAAUACAUAGGUUAACGAGGCGAACCGGGGGAACUGAAACAUCUAAGUACCCCGAGGAAAAGAAAUCAACCGAGAUUCCCCCAGUAGCGGCGAGCGAACGGGGAGCAGCCCAGAGUCUGAAUCAGCUUGUGUGUUAGUGGAAGCGUCUGGAAAGUCGCACGGUACAGGGUGACAGUCCCGUACACGAAAGCACACAGGUUGUGAACUCGAAGAGUAGGGCGGGACACGUGGUAUCCUGUCUGAAUAUGGGGGGACCAUCCUCCAAGGCUAAAUACUCCUGACUGACCGAUAGUGAACCAGUACCGUGAGGGAAAGGCGAAAAGAACCCCGGCGAGGGGAGUGAAAAAGAACCUGAAACCGUGUACGUACAAGCAGUGGGAGCACCCUUGUGGUGUGACUGCGUACCUUUUGUAUAAUGGGUCAGCGACUUAUAUUCUGUAGCAAGGUUAACCGUAUAGGGGAGCCGAAGGGAAACCGAGUCUUAACUGGGCGUUAAGUUGCAGGGUAUAGACCCGAAACCCGGUGAUCUAGCCAUGGGCAGGUUGAAGGUUGGGUAACACUAACUGGAGGACCGAACCGACUAAUGUUGAAAAAUUAGCGGAUGACUUGUGGCUGGGGGUGAAAGGCCAAUCAAACCGGGAGAUAGCUGGUUCUCCCCGAAAGCUAUUUAGGUAGCGCCUCGUGAACUCAUCUUCGGGGGUAGAGCACUGUUUCGGCUAGGGGGCCAUCCCGGCUUACCAACCCGAUGCAAACUACGAAUACCGAAGAAUGUUAUCACGGGAGACACACGGCGGGUGCUAACGUCCGUCGUGAAGAGGGAAACAACCCAGACCGCCAGCUAAGGUCCCAAAGUCAUGGUUAAGUGGGAAACGAUGUGGGAAGGCACAGACAGCCAGGAUGUUGGCUUAGAAGCAGCCAUCAUUUAAAGAAAGCGUAAUAGCUCACUGGUCGAGUCGGCCUGCGCGGAAGAUGUAACGGGGCUAAACCAUGCACCGAAGCUGCGGCAGCGACGCUUAGGCGUUGUUGGGUAGGGGAGCGUUCUGUAAGCCGUUGAAGGUGUGCUGUGAGGCAUGCUGGAGGUAUCAGAAGUGCGAAUGCUGACAUAAGUAACGAUAAAGCGGGUGAAAAGCCCGCUCGCCGGAAGACCAAGGGUUCCUGUCCAACGUUAAUCGGGGCAGGGUGAGUCGACCCCUAAGGCGAGGCCGAAAGGCGUAGUCGAUGGGAAACAGGUUAAUAUUCCUGUACUUGGUGUUACUGCGAAGGGGGGACGGAGAAGGCUAUGUUAGCCGGGCGACGGUUGUCCCGGUUUAAGCAUGUAGGCGGAGGUUCCAGGUAAAUCCGGUACCUUUUAACGCUGAGGUGUGAUGACGAGGCACUACGGUGCUGAAGUAACAAAUGCCCUGCUUCCAGGAAAAGCCUCUAAGCAUCAGGUAACACGAAAUCGUACCCCAAACCGACACAGGUGGUCAGGUAGAGAAUACCAAGGCGCUUGAGAGAACUCGGGUGAAGGAACUAGGCAAAAUGGUGCCGUAACUUCGGGAGAAGGCACGCUGAUAUGUAGGUGAAGCCCCUGCGGGUGGAGCUGAAAUCAGUCGAAGAUACCAGCUGGCUGCAACUGUUUAUUAAAAACACAGCACUGUGCAAACACGAAAGUGGACGUAUACGGUGUGACGCCUGCCCGGUGCCGGAAGGUUAAUUGAUGGGGUUAGCGGCAACGCGAAGCUCUUGAUCGAAGCCCCGGUAAACGGCGGCCGUAACUAUAACGGUCCUAAGGUAGCGAAAUUCCUUGUCGGGUAAGUUCCGACCUGCACGAAUGGCGUAAUGAUGGCCAGGCUGUCUCCACCCGAGACUCAGUGAAAUUGAACUCGCUGUGAAGAUGCAGUGUACCCGCGGCAAGACGGAAAGACCCCGUGAACCUUUACUAUAGCUUGACACUGAACACUGGUCCUUGAUGUGUAGGAUAGGUGGGAGGCUUUGAAGC